UACGGAGGGGGCUAGCGUUGUUCGGAAUUACUGGGCGUAAAGCGCACGUAGGCGGACUGUUAAGUCGGGGGUGAAAUCCUGGGGCUCAACCUCAGAAUUGCCUCCGAUACUGGCAGUCUCGAGUGCGGGAGAGGUGAGUGGAAUUCCCAGUGUAGAGGUGAAAUUCGUAGAUAUUGGGAAGAACACCAGUGGCGAAGGCGGCUCACUGGCCCGUAACUGACGCUGAGGUGCGAAAGCGUGGGGAGCAAACAGGG
rnacentral:rRNA from 1 species